UACGGAGGGUGCAAGCGUUGUUCGGAAUCAUUGGGCGUAAAGCGCGUGUAGGCGGUUCUCUAAGUCUGGAGUGAAAGCCCGGGGCUCAACCCCGGAAGUGCUUUGGAUACUGGAGAACUAGAGGAUGAGAGAGGAUGGUGGAAUUCCUGGUGUAGGGGUGAAAUCCGUAGAUAUCAGGAGGAACAUCGGUGGCGAAGGCGGCCAUCUGGCUCAUAUCUGACGCUGAGACGCGAAAGCGUGGGGAGCAAACAGG
rnacentral:rRNA from 1 species